rnacentral:rRNA from 1 species
UACCAGCACCCCGAGUGGUCGGGACGUUUAUUGGGCCUAAAGCAUCCGUAGCCGGUUCUACAAGCCUUCCGUUAAAUCCACCUGCUUAACAGAUGGGCUGCGGAAGAUACUAUGGAGCUAGGAGGCGGGAGAGGCAAGCGGUACUCGAUGGGUAGGGGUAAAAUCCGUUGAUCCAUUGAAGACCACCAGUGGCGAAGGCGGCUUGCCAGAACGCGCUCGACGGUGAGGGAUGAAAGCUGGGGGAGC